rnacentral:rRNA from 1 species
GAUGAACGCUGGCGGCGUGCCUAAUACAUGCAAGUCGAGCGAACAGAUGAGGAGCUUGCUCCUCUGACGUUAGCGGCGGACGGGUGAGUAACACGUGGAUAACCUACCUAUAAGACUGGGAUAACUUCGGGAAACCGGAGCUAAUACCGGAUAAUAUAUUCAACCGCAUGGUUCAAUAGUGAAAGACGGUUUUGCUGUCACUUAUAGAUGGAUCCGCGCCGCAUUAGCUAGUUGGUAAGGUAACGGCUUACCAAGGCAACGAUGCGUAGCCGACCUGAGAGGGUGAUCGGCCACACUGGAACUGAGACACGGUCCAGACUCCUACGGGAGGCAGCAGUAGGGAAUCUUGCGCAAUGGGCGAAAGCCUGACGGAGCAACGCCGCGUGAGUGAUGAAGGUCUUCGGAUCGUAAAACUCUGUUAUUAGGGAAGAACAAAUGUGUAAGUAACUAUGCACGUCUUGACGGUACCUAAUCAGAAAGCCACGGCUAACUACGUG